AGGACGAACGCUGGCGGCGUGCUUAACACAUGCAAGUCGAGCGGAAAGGCCCUUCGGGGUACUCGAGCGGCGAACGGGUGAGUAACACGUGAGUAAUCUGCCCCUAGCUCUGGGAUAGCUCCGGGAAACCGGGAUUAAUACCGGAUACGACCACCUUAGACAUCUUUUGUGGUGGAAAGAAUUUCGGCUAGGGAUGAGCUCGCGGCCUAUCAGCUUGUUGGUGGGGUAACGGCCUACCAAGGCGACGAC
rnacentral:rRNA from 1 species